rnacentral:rRNA from 1 species
ACACAUGCAAGUCGAGCGGAGACAGUGAGUAGCUUGCUAUGAGCUGUUUUAGCGGCGGACGGGUGAGUAACGCGUGAGCAACCUUUCCCAGACAGGGGAAUAACACACCGAAAGGUGUACUAAUACCGCAUAAGACCACGGGAUCACAUGGUUCUGGGGUAAAAGAUUUAUCGGUUUGGGGUGGGCUCGCGUCCGAUUAGGUAGUUGGUGAGGUAACGGCCCACCAAGCCGACGAUCGGUAGCCGACCUGAGAGGGUGAUCGGCCACAUUGGGACUGAGACACGGCCCAAACUCCUACGGGAGGCAGCAGUGGGGAAUAUUGGGCAAUGGGGGGAACCCUGACCCAGCAACGCCGCGUGGAGGAAGAAGGUUUUCGGAUCGUAAACUCCUGUCCUUGGAGACGAGUAGAAGACGGUAUCCAAGGAGGAAGCCCCGGCUAACUACGUGCCAGCAGCCGCGGUAAUACGUAGGGGGCAAGCGUUGUCCGGAAUAAUUGGGCGUAAAGGGCGCGUAGGCGGCUCGGUAAGUCUGGAGUGAAAGUCCUGCUUUUAAGGUGGGAAUUGCUUUGGAUACUGUCGGGCUUGAGUGCAGGAGAGGUUAGUGGAAUUCCCAGUGUAGCGGUGAAAUGCGUAGAGAUUGGGAGGAACACCAGUGGCGAAGGCGACUAACUGGACUGUAACUGACGCUGAGGCGCGAAAGUGUGGGGAGCAAACAGGAUUAGAUACCCUGGUAGUCCACACUGUAAACGAUGAAUGCUAGGUGUAGGGGGUAUCGACCCCUUCUGUGCCGCAGUCAACACAAUAAGCAUUCCGCCUGGGGAGUACGGCCGCAAGG